rnacentral:lncRNA from 1 species
CCUGCCCAGCAUAAUCCAAUUCCCCUUCAAUAGAACCUAGCUCUGCAUGUGAUAGACACAGGCUACAUCAAGAGGUACAAGAGACUUAAUCCAUCUAUUUUUGUAAAGGCAUCCACUUUUGAAGAAGUUGAGUACUAGUUAGCAGAGAUAGAGAAGACUUUUGCGACCUUUGAGGUGGUUCCUGAGCAGAAGGUUGUCCUUGCUACUUACAUGCUCGUAGGUGAGGCAGAGUGUUGGUGGCAACUUAAGCAAACUACUCUAUCCACUUCAGUCACCUAGGAAUAGUUUUU